UAGAAGGUGGUGUAGUGGAAGCACUAAGAGUUUUGAUCUCUUUAGGAGGGGUUCAAGUCCCCCCCUUCUAA
rnacentral:tRNA from 1 species